rnacentral:rRNA from 1 species
AGUAACGGCGAGUGAAGCGGCAACAGCUCAAAUUUGAAAUCUGGCGCAAGCCCGAGUUGUAAUUUGUAGAGGAUGCUUCUGGGUAGCGGCCGGUCUAAGUUCCUUGGAACAGGACGUCACAGAGGGUGAGAAUCCCGUAUGUGAUCGGCCCGCGCCCUCUACGUAGCUCCUUCGACGAGUCGAGUUGUUUGGGAAUGCAGCUCUAAAUGGGAGGUAAAUUUCUUCUAAAGCUAAAUACCGGCCAGAGACCGAUAGCGCACAAGUAGAGUGAUCGAAAGAUGAAAAGCACUUUGGAAAGAGAGUUAAACAGCACGUGAAAUUGUUGAAAGGGAAGCGCUUGCAACCAGACUUGAUGGCGGUGUUCCCCCGGGCUUCUGCCCGGGUUAUUCACCGUCUUCAGGCCAUCAUCGUCUGGGGCCGCCGGAGAAACCGUCAGGAAUGUGGCUCCCUCGGGAGUGUUAUAGCCUGUCGACAUGCGGCGUGCCCCGGGCGAGGUCCGCGCUUAGGCAAGGAUGAUGGCGUAAUGGUUGUCAGCGGCCCGUCUUGAAACACGGACCAAGGAGUCUAACAUCUAUGCGAGUGUUCGGGUGUCAAACCCCUACGCGUAAUGAAAGUGAACGGAGGUGGGAGCUUCGGCGCACCAUCGACCGAUCCUGAUGUCCUCGGAUGGAUUUGAGUAAGAGCAUAGCUGUUGGGACCCGAAAGAUGGUGAACUAUGCCUGAAUAGGGUGAAGCCAGAGGAAACUCUGGUGGAGGCUCGCAGCGGUUCUGACGUGCAAAUCGAUCGUCAAAUUUGGGUAUA